rnacentral:rRNA from 1 species
GACGUAGGGUGCAAGCGUUUGUCCGGAAUUAUUGGGCGUAAAGAGUUCGUAGGCGGUUUGCCAAGUCUGACGUUAAAGCCCGGAGCUCAACUCCGGCAUGGGCAUCGGAAACUGGCAGGCUAGAGUCUGGUAGAGGCAAGGGGAAUUCCCGGUGUAGCGGUGAAAUGCGUAGAUAAUCGGGAGGAACACCAGUGGCGAAAGGCGCCUUGCUGGGCCAGUACUGACGCUGGAGGAACGAAAGCCAGGGUAGCGGAAAGGG